rnacentral:rRNA from 1 species
UCAUGGCUCAGGAUGAACGCUAGCGGCAGGCUUAACACAUGCAAGUCGAGGGGUAACAUUAGUGCUUGCACUAGAUGACGACCGGCGCACGGGUGCGUAACGCGUAUAGAAUCUACCUUUUACAGGGGGAUAGCCUUUAGAAAUGAAGAUUAAUAUCCCAUAGUAUUGCGAAGUGGCAUCACUUUGUAAUUAAAGAUUUAUCGGUAAAAGAUGACUAUGCGUCCUAUUAGUUAGUUGGUAAGGUAACGGCUUACCAAGACUUCGAUAGGUAGGGGUCCUGAGAGGGAGAUCCCCCACACUGGUACUGAGACACGGACCAGACUCCUACGGGAGGCAGCAGUGAGGAAUAUUGGGCAAUGGAGGUAACUCUGACCCAGCCAUGCCGCGUGCAGGAAGACUGCCCUAUGGGUUGUAAACUGCUUUUAUACAGGAAGAAACACUGCUACGUGUAGCAGCUUGACGGUACUGUAAGAAUAAGGACCGGCUAA